rnacentral:rRNA from 1 species
CAGUAGCCGCGGGAAUACGUAGGGCGCAAGCGUUGUCCGGAAUUAUUGGGCGUAAAGAGCUCGUAGGCGGUCUGUCGCGUCUGGUGUGAAAUCCCGAGGCUCAACCUCGGGCUUGCAUCGGGUACGGGCAGACUAGAGUGCGGUAGGGGAGACUGGAAUUCCUGGUGUAGCGGUGGAAUGCGCAGAUAUCAGGAGGAACACCGAUGGCGAAGGCAGGUCUCUGGGCCGCAACUGACGCUGAGGAGCGAAAGCAUGGGGAGCGAACAGGAUUAGAUACCCGAGUAGUCCCUGUCUCUUAUAA